CAGCCCGCGGGGAAUCGCUUCCGCAGUGCCCGGAGGGAGCCGGGAGCAGGUGGCAGAGGCGGGCGGGUCCCCACCGCCAGCACCCACGGAGCACCGCCGGGUUUUUAGGGGCUUUGCGCAUCUGCAGUACUUACAGAGACAAGGGGCUUGUUGAUUCCAGCAGAAGGGCUCUCCAGGCUGUGCUGUGGCUGUGGUAGAGUGCCUAGCACAAACACUCAGAUGAGAUCCCGGUUUCUUUCCAGACUUGAACAACAGUGCAGUUGAAAAGGGUGACAAAACAAGCUUCUUCUCAAGCUACCACACAAAAGACGUCAGUCAGGAUAUUUACAACAAACACUGGCUCCAAAUGCGAGGACUCCCAUUUCCUGGCAGUGUUGCUCUACACAGUGUUUUCUCUGGAAGGAAUCAAUUACA